GACAGCAUGAUUUUAGACUUCUGGCCUCCAGAACUGUGUAGAAACACAUUCCUGUUAGUUAGCAUGUUUUCCUAUGCCUUGAUAUUAGGUCAAGGAUGCCAACUAUGGGCUAAAGAUCAUAACUGGGGGUUAAUAAUUAAACAUUAUUUACUUCCCAAUAAUGGCCUUUUGGAAAAAUCCAGUGUACAAGAACUGAACACCAAAGGUGGAAGGAGCUUGAGAGUCCAGAGAAAGAAGACAUGAUAUCAACACCCAGUCAAGAAAAUAGACAUUACUCAAGGAGUUUUAAGUAGGUCUACUGGAAGUCUGUGCUCAAGGAGGAUCAAGAUCAUUAUGUAUGAAACACAAAGAAUGGUGGACGUGCAUCUCCUCUGCUCACAGGCAAG